rnacentral:rRNA from 1 species
UGAACCAGCAACUUGGAUGAAUAGAAAUCAAAAGAUUGAAAAAACUCAGUUUAUAAAGUUCUAGGUAAAAUGAAUAUGACAUUUUACUAUCUAUAUGUCUUGACAAAGUCACGUGCCAGCAGUCGCGGUAAUACGUGGAAGACUGGUGUUAUUCAUCAUAAAUAGGUUUAAAGGGUACCUAGACGGCUAACAAGAAUCGACUAUUAAAAAGUAAUGAGGAAUUGUAGGCUAGAGUGUAAUGUAAGGAUUUUAGUAUGUUGAGUGUAAAGAUGAAAUUUGUUGAUACCAUUUUUUUUAUUAGACUGGCUAAGGCGAAAGCAAUUUUUUAUGUAAACACUGACGUUGAGGGACGAAGGCUUCGGUUCACGAAAAGGAUUAGGUACCCUUGUAGUGGGGGCAGACAAUGAUGAGUGUCAUAUGUAAGUAAAUAGGUUAUUUAUAUAUAAAUGAAAGUGUAAACACUCCACCUUAUGAGUAAUACGGCAACGUAUAAAUUGAAAUCACUAGACCGUUUCUGACACCAGCAGUGAAGUAUGUUGUUUAAUUUGCUAAUCCACGGAAAACCUUACCACAAUUUGAAUAAUUAUAUUUAUAUAAUUACAGGUGUUGCACGGCUGUUUUUAGUUAAUGUUGUGAGAUUUUGGUUAAUUCCAUGUAAUUAACGUAAACCCUUAUUCUAUUUUAGAAUAGAAUUGAUCAAAUCGCUAUAUUGAUUUUGAUAAUAGGGGAAUAAGACAAGUCAUCAUGACU